AUGAAACGGGGGACCGAGCAGCCAGAGGAAGGAAGCAGCGGCGCUGGAGGGUCCUGGACGGUGGAGAACGAUGUGGAGGAGGCGUCGGGGAUGGACUUCUCUGGCCGAAGCCAAAGCCAUGACGAGGCGAUCUGGGAUGAGGCAGAGGAGCAGUCGCGUGGGUCGAGCGAAGUGACGCCGGCUGGCGUUGGACUUGGCGGCCUGCAGGUUUUCGAAGUGCCUAAAAAUGUUAAGAUCUUUAGUGGAGCUCAGGAAAAGAUGAAAGAAUUUAUGGGCGAAGUUUGA
rnacentral:rRNA from 1 species